rnacentral:rRNA from 1 species
UACAGAGGGUGCAAGCGUUGUUCGGAAUUAUGGGCGUAAAGGGCGCGUAGGCGGUUGCGGUAAGUCUGCAGUCGGAAAUCUCUGGGCUCAACUCAGAGUCUGCUGUGGAAACUGGCCGUGCGUUGAGUGAUGGGGAGAGGUGAGUGGAAAUUCCUGGUGUAGCGGUGAAAUGCGCAGAGUAUCAGGAGGAACGACCCGGUCGGCGGCAAGGCGGGUCUCUGGGCCGAUAACUGACGCUGGAGGAAGCGAAAGCGUGGGGAGCGAACAGG